rnacentral:rRNA from 1 species
CAGUGGGGAAUAUUGCACAAUGGGCGCAAGCCUGAUGCAGCCAUGCCGCGUGUAUGAAGAAGGCCUUCGGGUUGUAAAGUACUUUCAGCAGUGAGGAAGGUGGAUAUGUUAAUAGCAUAUUCAUUUGACGUUAGCUGCAGAAGAAGCACCGGCUAACUCCGUGCCAGCAGCCGCGGUAAUACGGAGGGUGCGAGCGUUAAUCGGAAUUACUGGGCGUAAAGCGCAUGCAGGUGGUUUGUUAAGUCAGAUGUGAAAGCCCGGGGCUCAACCUCGGAAUUGCAUUUGAAACUGGCAAACUAGAGUACUGUAGAGGGGGUAGGAAUUUCAGGUGUAGCGGUGAAAUGCGUAGAGAUCUGAAGGAAUACCGGUGGCGAAGGCGGCCCCCUCGGACAGAUACUGACACUCAGAUGCGAAAGCGUGGGGAGCAAACAGGAUUAGAUACCCUGGUAG